rnacentral:ribozyme from 1 species
CUCAACACAAUAGAAAGCAGUCCGAGACAACAAAGGAAAAAGGUGUUUCCCUUUUGCUUUCUCUUUCUGUUUUUCUCUGUUUUUCUUUCCCCUUUUACUUUG